rnacentral:rRNA from 1 species
UACGUAGGGCGCAAGCGUUGUCCGGAAUUAUUGGGCGUAAAGAGCUCGUAGGCGGUUUGUCGCGUCUGCUAGUGAAAUCCUCAGGGCUCAACCUGGGGCUUGCAGUGGGUACGGGCAGACUAGAGUGCGGUAGGGGUGACUGGAAUUCCUGGUGAUAGCGGUGAAAUGCGCAGAUAUCAGGAGGAACACCGGUGGCGAAGGCGGUUCUCUGGGCAUGUCCUGACGGCUGAGGAGCGAAAGUGUGGGACGGCGAACAGG